rnacentral:lncRNA from 1 species
GGCUGUCCAGCCGCUGCUAUGUGGGCCAGUUUGUCCCCUGGCACUUCAUGAGCUGGCAGCGUCACCGGACAAAAGGUCCUAAGCUUUGGGGUGUCCCAGAAGUGGACACAUGGGUUUACUUCCUCUCGGGUCUCACGGGAUCGCUUCCCUCUUGACGAAUUCCGAAGCCUGCCCGGUACAAGUGGCUCCUGCUUGGGACUCACAGGGCUAAUCCAGCCCUUCUGAUCUAAUCCGGAUCAGGACCUCGUCCGGGGGGAUGCCCCCACCUUCUAUUGUUCUGGGGCCCAGGUGCACCCCCAGACUGAUGGUGGCAGGCAGAGGCGACGAAAAGAGCUCGGGCUGAUGGCCCUCUCUGGAAUCCCUGGAGAACUCUGACCAGGGAGGUCCUGGGUCCUCUCUGUAGGGCCGCAAUGGCGGUGAGUCCCACAAGGCCGCCCAGCCCGCAGCUCGCUAAAGAUAGAUCUUCACUUCCUGGGGAAAAAAACCACCCUAACCGUCUUCAUGGAGGGAGAGUAACAAAAAUCACCAACUUGCUGGUGGGUCCCAGCCCUGCUUGCAGCUGAACCCACACCACAGCAU